GGUGCGGUGGUCCGGCAGCACAGCAUCCCUUAUUUCGUGAUCGGUUGGCGGACGGCGCGCGUCUCCUCUUCAUCCGACGCGUUUUCGACGCCGAAACUUCAGUUCGCGUCCGCGUCGCGCCCUUCGCACAACCCUCGAGUCCCUUUCGGAGAGCAUUCGACGCUCCGCCGCCGACCGGUACAGUCGUGUCCAUACACCCCUCUCGUACGACGACAUCAGCCACCCUUCGUGCGUCUAAAUACACGCAGUCGAAGAACUUUUUUUUUAUUUCCUCAGCGAAAAUAAACACUCUCUCACUGAACAAUAGCGACAACCACCCUCGCCGGUCCGCGCUUAUGAUGUGCUAACAAUAUAUACACAAGUUGUGAUUGUUUCGUUAGGUUUACCGGGGAGAUAAAGGGAAGGACGUAAAGAGGCUGACGUCCCAUUGUUAUCCUGCUGCGAUGCAUCGUUGUGUCCUUUUCACGGCGGCAGCCCUUUACGAGGAUUAAGAUCGACACCUCCGUUUCAUUCCCAAGAAUCUUUGGUGGACUUUGAUUUUUUUUCUUCGAGUGCGUUCAUCGAGUGCGCGUUUUCUUCGCGGAAAGAAACGACAAAACAAA